GAGGGAAGAGAUGUGCCACUAUUUGACAGCAACACUUGGCAAUGGUUCUGACAGUUUGAGGGGCAGCCAAUCUCAGUGGUAAACCCUUUCAUGGGCCCUUGGCUGCGACGUUGUUGUAACAGGAAUGUGGCGCGCAGGGAAAGCAGGGUUGGCGAGAAAGCCAGGCAGGCUUCACUCUGUUUAUCUCUGCGCUCACUGUAAACUGUGCUCAUGGCGGAAUCCACUGGCUGCCAGGUUUGCGUUGCUCCAUGGAGCAGAAGACGCAGGGUAAGUGGAGGGAGAUUGCAGAAACCAGACAUCGCAGCCGUCUCUUCUAAUUCUGGCUGUUAAGCAAAAACUUGAAAUCAUUGAAUGGUUUUAGCUUUGUCGUUGUUGACUACAGAGAGCAAGCACCACGUGAGUACUUUGCCUAGCCUGUGUGCAAAACGGGAAUGAGUGUAGCAUCUAUCGCCUAUGGCGUCCAGGUGAUAAAGUCGUAGACUGCCACAGAUGCCCCAAACGGAGCGACACAUAUCAAGCAUUGUAAUUACUGAACAGUUAGUCAGAGUGGAUCCAGGAUUCAAACCAGGCAGCCUGGCUCCAAAGCCAGCCCUCUUAAUCACUAUCUUGCAUUGCUGCCAUUAAUUAUCCAUCAAUUUUCAUAGAACAGUUAAAAAUGCUUCAUUGUGGUUACUCUUAAUAUUGAUAAAAUGAGGCACGGACAAUUUUUAUGGCUUAGGCAAGAUUUUAAAGAAAAGUUCUGUCUCACACAACCACUCUCCACAAACGUUUGGUAAAUAAUGUAGAAGAAGUGUUUAGGACACUGAAUAUUACUGCAAGAGGAGAAUCUGAAGACACGGCUCCCUCCUGGCAGAGGCUUAAGUCUGGUCAAGUCGCUGAAGCUGAAAUGGAAAGAGGACUCCGAGCAUAAAACACAUGCAGUGUGGACGCACGGGUGUAAGAUGUGUACACAAAGGACCAAACGGAGAAAAUUGAGAGGGAGCAGACGUAGAAGCUUCCAGGAAAAAGGAAACUUCGAGCCAAGUUUGGAAAGAAAAGAGGGGUAUGGGUUGGCAAAGUCUUUGCACCCAGCCAUCUUGCCAAUCAACAAAUGCUCUCUGUCCAAGGCAGUUCCCAAGGCAAGACAUCAUGAGCGCGCGGGAGUGUGUGCACAGCUCCAGCCGGACGCCCGCCCUCCAUGCAGGCAAAGCGCGAGACGAGCCAGCCUCCAUCACAACAUGGCUUUGACAAGUGGCCAAAGAAACGCACCAGUAGAGUAUAAGGUGACCUAUUCCAAGGGAGGAAAGACGGAAACUUCAUAAAGAUGAGCAGAGUUCUAUGGACGUUCCAACCCUUUCAGUGUAACUAUUUCUUACCAUUAUAAAUUAUUUUCAUGCCCCUCGU
ensembl:lincRNA Gm9915 predicted gene 9915